rnacentral:lncRNA from 1 species
GAAGUAACAGGUUUUUGCGAUGCAGUCUCUUGCCUCGGGGAAAAAAAAAUGGGUCCUGACGCAAGCUUUCGUUCAUAUUCUAACAGACUUUCUGAAUUGAGCCUACUUCUCGUGUAGUCUCGUUCAUCAUUUGCCUAUAGUGUUUUGACCUUACACGAGUUACAUUCAUACCCCAGUCUUAGAGGCUACGCAAAAUUCAGAUAAUGCUGUUUUUGAACGGUGCUUUCGUUUUGAUUCUGGCAAAUUUGGAAACCCGACAUUUUGGAGUCGCAGCCGUACCGAGACCCGCCUUCAUGCUGUCAAAAGACGCGUGCGCCCAACGAUGCCUCACCAGUCACGGCUAUUUCGGCCUCGCUGAGAUGAAGCCCCUGCCUGUUUCCCUCGGGAGGGUCCGCUUUAAAACGUGCCUCUGCAACGUCACCAGAGAGUUCAAGCAGUUCGUCGCCCAGGCCGUUGGUCCUUGGACCGCCCGGAUGUACCCAUAUUUCCAGAGGAUCGGCCUCGGGAGAUGGGCCCGUAACCGAAUGCUCCGGAAGAACCCCGAGAUCAAUUUCUAUACGUGGGACGAUUUGCAUGAAGGGAAAGAACGAGAACAAGAAGACGAAGAAGAAGAAGAAGAACAAGGAGAAGAAAGUGGGGAAACUCAUGCGGAGACAGAACGAAAGCAGCACAACACUCGGAGUCAUAGGAGUCCGCCACGGGCACCGCCAACAUCUCCCGCGGCUGGCGCGGGCGCCAAUAGGCAGCAAGGCGUGGACAUUAAAGCGCUGCAAAGCACGGGUGCAGAACCUCUCUCAUUCGAGGCGCACCUAGCGCGAGAGCGGACAAGUUACGAUCAGCGACGUGCUGCUAAUGGUUUACCACCACCUUCGAAAUCAACGUCCAGUAGAGGGAGUGCCACGAGCUUGAGCUUAGCUGCUGGAUCUGAGAUCUCUGCGGGAUCUGGUUCAAGGGCCUCGCAAUCGCGAUACGCAAAAUCGCAACACUCAAAAUCGAGGGGCCGAAGGGAAUGAAAAGAAGGGAAGCGGCGCCCUGUUAGGGAUCUCUCGAUAACGUCACGUACAAAGGUUUACACGAAGAAUUGAGCGCCUAGUGUCAUUUUAUUUCGGAGACCUCGCUCUUCAAAGAAGGCAACAGCCCUUUCCAGAUGCUCAAACUGGAGCGCGUCAGUUUGCGGGUGUUGACUAUUGAAAAUGAUGAAGAAUGAAUUAAAAUUGACCCGGAUGUAAUUUUGCCUUCCGCGUGUUUAUUUCGGCUCACGCCUCGCCAUCGCGCUUUCGAUUUUGCGGAUGCAACACGAAUAUCCAUCCAGCACGCAGGCCCGCCACAAGGGGGGGGAUACUGGGUCCUUGGUACCGGGGCCCGGGCCCUGGAGGGGCCCGUGACGCAGGUGACAAACCACUACGAAUUCAUGUGUAACCCUUGUCUCGUAAGAAAAAGUGAAAAAAAUACCCUAAAAAUUCCGCAAAAGGUGAAUAAAGUUUCAAAAACACGCUAGAGCACUUUAUAAUUUUUCUUACUUUUUCAGAGAUUUCUAUCUAUUUUCAAGAUUUUGAGUAUAUGUAGAAUGAUAUUUUUAGUAACUGCGUUUCAUUUUCUUCCGUUGUCGGAUGCUAAGAGGCUCCUGUCUGGGCAUCCUCGACUUCAAUGGCUCAACCCCCCUGCCAUAGACGUACAAAAGGGGAGAUCAGGAGGGCCCGGCUCCCCCUAGAAUUGAAAAGUAUCAUCUGCCCCCCUCAAAAAAAUGUAUAAAUGUUUUGAAUGCAACAAUUCGAAAGUAUUUGGUGCUGAAAGUAAAAAAAGACGUAAUUGUUCUGCACAAAUUGAUGGAAAAUCUCCAUCAUAAGGAGCUUCAAAAUGCGUCCAAAUAGAUUUAAAAUUUCAAAAAUUUCCCGGGGGAGGCCCCCCGGACCCCCCUCUGUGCUGGGGGCCCGGGCCAGAAAAUUGGUACUAGGGCCCGAGAUGGGAUGUGGCGGGCCUGCCAGCACGAAUAGUUGUAUUUCUGCGCCGUCAUCAACGCGUGCCCUAUCCCUUGCUCUGCCUUACUUUUCGGCGAGAGAUGCUUCGUAGUUGUUGAUCAAAUCAUCACCUCGCAGACCUUUGAGGUUCAACAGUCAACACCUGAAUCGAUACUUCAAGACUGACGCUGCAGUUUGAGCUUCUAGAAAGGACUAUAAUGUAAUCGAUUGAGGCAAAAUUUAAGUGCGGAGGUCAUCGCUGUUUUUAGCCCUGUUGUGAUUGAUGAGCAAAUUUUGGAGGAAACAAUCUGCCUAAUUAUGAAAAAUGAUUGUCGGGAAGAGCACUUUGAGCACUUUGCUAAGCGAGUUUUUGCAAAGUAGUUUCGACUUUCAAAAUCAAUUCCUCAACUCUUUGGUAACCAGUCAUCAUUCGGUGAAUUUGACCCGAACGUAACUUCGGUUUCCGCGUACUUAAUUUCCUUCACGCUUCGCGCCAUCGCGCCUUCAAUUUUGCAGAUGCAACACGGACAUCCAUCGAGCACGAAUAGUUGUAUCUCUGCGCCGUCACCAACGCGCACCCUGUCCCGAGUGUCUCGUGCUCUAUUCUAUAGUGUGCUUGUUUCCGUUUGUAUUUUUUACAGUGAUGCUUUGUAGUGAAGGCUAUUUGAGUAACAGCCGAAGAUGGGAGAGACUUAUUCGGGCCUCUGUUUUAACUUUUCACCCCGUAAAAAUAUAAGAAAAAGUAUUUUUCACCUUCAAAAACAUAGAGAUAACAUAGAAAAUACUUUAGAACCCAUCAAAAUCAAAGUAUUUAAUUAAGGGUCCAUUUGACCCGAUUUGGGAAUUAGCGCAUAAAAAAGUAUCGGGCAUUUAGGGUUGAAUGGAACUCAGGGUUCAGGAGUAUAACGUUGGAUCAACAAUGGUAUUCUUCUUCGAAUUUUACCCUUAGAUAAUGAGAUUCCUGAAGACGCAAGAUUGCCAUGUUAUACUAGGGCUUAAUGGAGUGUUCGGCGAACAUUUUACAAGUCCAAAUAAUAUUUACGAGACAAACUCUAUGCUAUCUAUCUCAGCCGUUAUAAGCUCAAGGCUUAUCAUUGUUGAACCAAAAUUUGAGGAUGAGAAAAGAACUUAUGUGAUGGCGGGCUGGUUAGGAUAAGAAGCGAGAGAUCAUUGCCAGUGAGUGUAAUUCAUACUCUUCAUUCUAUACCUAUUCUUCAUUCGAUUAUUUCUAAAUAGUGCUCUGACAUCACAUUAUUACUAUGAAUUGCCGAUAGAAAUUAAGAAAACCGGUAGAAAAAAAUCAGCAGCUCUCUCAGUUUGAAUAAUCCGGCAUGCAUAAUAAGCCAUCAAUUUUAAAGGAAGGAUUUUACUGUCAUUGAAAUAAAGCAAUAUAAAAUGCUGUACUGAUUUUAGGAUUAUGCGAUUUUUAUUACGGUGCAAUAGCAAGUUCAGCAGAGUUUAUUGGAGAUUUCCGUCAGACCAGGCGUAUUCUCCGUUUUGUUGUUUUCUUUCUUUUUUAGACUCCACGCAAAAAUUUUACCACGAAUGUUAAUUUUUAUUACAGUUCAAAGAUUAUGAAUUGAUUACUUCUGUGAAAUUUCAUUAAAAUGU